rfam:Prunus persica cultivar Lovell chromosome G1, whole genome shotgun sequence.
GUCCGGUUCGUUUGAGACAUCCGUUAAAAUUAGAACGAUACAUAGAAGAUUAGCAUAGUGGGACGAUACAUAGAAAAUUAGCAUGGCAAAUGAUACAUAGAAGAUUAGCAUGGCUCGUGCGCAAGAAUGACGCAUGAAAGCAUGGCUCGAGCGCAAGAAUGAUGCAUGAAUCGGAAAUGGUCCAAAGUUUU